UGGCGAAGGCCGGCUCUCUGUCUCGAUACUGAGGCUGAAGCAGCGAAAGUGUAUAGAGCAAUCAGGAUUAGAUUUCCUGGUAGUGCACACCGUAGACGAUGAAUGCCAGUCGUCGGCAAGCAUGUUUGUCGGUAACACACCUAACGGAUUAAGCAUUCCGCCUUCGAGUACGGUCGCAAGAUUAAAACUCAAAGGAAUUGGCGGGGGCCCGCGCAAGCGGUCGAGCAUGUGUUUUAAUUCGAAGCAACGCGCAGAACCUUACCAACCCUUGCCAUCCUAGGACCGCCAGAGAGAUCUGGCUUUCACUUCGGUGACCUAGUGACAGGUGGUGCAUGGCUGUCGUCAGCUUGUGUCGUGAGAUUUUCGGUUAAGUCCGGCAACGAGCGCAACCCACAUCUUCAGUUGCCAGCAGUUCGGGUGGGCACUAUGGAGAAACCCCCCGUGAUAAGCGGGAAGAAGGUG
rnacentral:rRNA from 1 species